CAGCCGCCGCGGGAAAACAGAGGGUGCGAGCGUUAAUCGGAUUUACUGGGCGUAAAGCGUGCGUAGGCGGCUUUUUAAGUCGGAUGUGAAAUCCCUGAGCUUAACUUAGGAAUUGCAUUCGAUACUGGGAAGCUAGAGUAUGGGAGAGGAUGGUAGAAUUCCAGGUGUAGCGGUGAAAUGCGUAGAGAUCUGGAGGAAUACCGAUGGCGAAGGCAGCCAUCUGGCCUAAUACUGACGCUGAGGUACGAAAGCAUGGGGAGCAAACAGGAUUAGAUACCCCGGUAGUCCCUGUCUCUUAUAC
rnacentral:rRNA from 1 species